rnacentral:rRNA from 1 species
CAGUCGCCGCGGUAACACCAGCACCUCGAGUGGUCAGGAGGUUUAUUGGGCCCAAAGCAUCCGUAGCCGGUUGCAUAAGUUUUCGGUUAAAUCUAUGCGCUUAGCGUAUAGGCCGCCGAAAAUACUGUGCAGCUAGGGAGUGGGAGAGGUACACGGUACUCGAUAGGAAGGGGUAAAAUCCUUUGAUCUAUUGAUGACCACCUGUGGCGAAGGCGGUGUACCAGAACACGUUCGACGGUGAGGGAUGAAAGCUGGGGGAGCAAACCGGAUUAGAUACCCCUGUAGUCCCUGUCUCUUAUAC